AACGAACGCUGGCGGCAUGCCUAACACAUGCAAGUCGAACGAGACCUUCGGGUCUAGUGGCGCACGGGUGCGUAACGCGUGGGAACCUGCCCUUAGGUUCGGAAUAACUCCCCGAAAGGGGUGCUAAUACCGGAUAAUGUCUUCGGACCAAAGAUUUAUCGCCCUUGGAUGGGCCCGCGUUGGAUUAGCUAGUUGGUAGGGUAAAAGCCUACCAAGGCGACGAUCCAUAGCUGGUCUGAGAGGAUGAUCAGCCACACUGGGACUGAGGCACGGCCCAGACUCCUACGGGAGGCAGCAGUGGGGAAUAUUGGACAAUGGGCGAAAGCCUGAUCCAGUAAUGCCGCGUGAGUGAUGAAGGCCUUAGGGUUGUAAAGCUCUUUUACCCGGGAUGAUAAUGACAGUACCGGGAGAAUAAGCUCCGGCUAACUCCGUG
rnacentral:rRNA from 1 species